UACGUAGGGCGCAAGCGUUGUCCGGAAUUAUUGGGCGUAAAGAGCUCGUAGGUGGUUUGUCGCGUUGUUCGUGAAAACUCACAGCUCAACUGUGGGCGUGCGGGCGAUACGGGCAGACUGGAGUACUGCAGGGGAGACUGGAAUUCCUGGUGUAGCGGUGGAAUGCGUAGAUAUCUGGAAGAACACCGGUGGCGAAGGCGGUCAACUGGCCCUAAACUGACGCUCAGGCACGAAAGCGUGGGGAUCAAACAGG
rnacentral:rRNA from 1 species